AAUAAUAAUAAUAAUAAUAAGGAAAAAGGAUAAAGUAGCUGCCUUCUACACCCUGGAAAGGCAAAUCCAUGGCCAAGUUGAUUUUUGUUUAAAGGGAAGGUUCAACAAUAAAUCCAGGCGAAGAUUGCUCUCCUCCAUGAUCCCAUAAUUAGUCUCUCUUAAAAACCUACACUUACACAUUAUUUCACAUUCCUUUCCUUUCUUGCACGUUUCUUGUCAAUGUCUAUGUGUUUCUUUCGAUUUGAAAGAUAUUAUUUUCUUUAUUAAAAAUUUUCUCUUUCUCUCUCUUGAGACAAAGGGUAGUAGGUUCCAUGUCUUGUAUCCUUGUUAUUAAAGAGAGAGAAGAAAUUGAGGGUUGCAUGUAUUCUGGUGUAAAGGAAGAGAGUUGCAUGUUUCUGACAUAAUAGAGUAACAGAGAUCAGAGAGAAUAAGAUGUUGCAGAGAGCUGCAAGCAAUGCUUAUUCAUGGUGGUGGGCAAGCCACAUCAGGACUAAGCAAUCAAAAUGGCUGGAGCAAAACCUUCAAGAUAUGGAAGAGAAGGUCCAGACUGUGCUCAAACUCAUCGAAGAGGAUGGAGACUCCUUUGCCAGGAGGGCAGAAAUGUAUUACAAAAAGAGGCCAGAGCUGAUACAUUUUGUGGAAGAAUCUUACAGAGCAUACCGGGCCUUAGCUGAAAGGUAUGAUCACAUAUCAACAGAGCUACAAAAUGCCAACAAUACCAUUGCUUCUGUUUUCCCAGAAGAAGUUCAAUUUGCAAUGGAAGACGAGGAAUAUGAUGCCGCAUCUAGAUUCCCAAAGAAGCAUCCAGAAGUCUCAAAAACAAAUAUCCCAAAGGUUCCAAAGAUUCCCAAAGACAUAAAGGGUAACUUCACCUCAGCUACCAAGAAAUUACAAUCCAAGAAGUCAAUGAAAACAACAAAUUCUGCUACGGUUGCUAAAUCUGGUUUGAGCAAAUCUAAGGGACUUCAGGAGAUUGACAGGCUUCAGAAAGAAAUUCUGUCUUUACAAACUGAAAAAGAGUUCGUGAAGAGCUCUUAUGAAGGUGGGCUAGCAAAGUAUUGGGAAAUUGAUGAGAAAAUCAGGGAAAUGCAGGAUAAGGUUUGUAGUUUGCAAGAUGAAUUUGGUGAAGGCAUAGUCAUUGAAGACGAUGAGGCUCGACAAUUGAUGGCUUCAGCAGCCUUGAAAUCAUGCCAGGAGACAUUGGCUCAGUUGGAGGAGAAGCAAGAGAAAUCUGCAGAAGAAGCAAUAAUUGAGAGCAAACGGAUCAGUGAUGCCCGGGAGAAGUUGAAGUCUCUCAAAGAUGAGUUUCUACAUGGUGAGAUCAAUCAGGAAAAGCCAAAAGCCAAAGGUAAGUCUAUGAACUCAGUCAGAGAGUUGAAAAGCUCAGACCAAGAACCGAGCAGUGUCACGCAAGAGAGAAAGGAUUUGGAGCUGUUACGUGUAAAAAUUAAGGAACACUUUGAGGUGGAAUCUAAUGCAUCUCUGAGUGUGACAGAACUUGCAGAGAAGAUUGACGAGCUUGUGAACAAGGUGAUUAGCUUAGAAGCUGCAGUUUCAUCACAGGCAGCACUCAUACAGAGAUUGAGAGCAGAGACAGAUGAGCUUCAAGCACAAAUUGGAAUCUUGGAGGAUGAUAAGGCAACACUAAUCAAUGGGAAAAAUGAUUUGAGAGACAAGCUGAUGGAAAUGGAGGAAAAGUUGCUUGGACUUCAGGAAUUAGACAAAAAUGUUGAAGACCAGAAUAACAGUCUUCAAACACAUUUUUCUGAAGCACAUUGUAAUCUUGAUCAUAUCUCAGAGAAACUGCAUGAUGUGAAGCCAGAUGAUGAGCUCGAGGACACACCCCAGACACAGUGGAAAUCUCUAGUUGAAGUUGAAUUACAACAAGAGGUCAAAAGACAAGAAGGUGUUCUGAAUUCUAAUGAUGGCCUUCAUGAGCUGCAGAAAAUAAACUCAGAAGAGGAAAGCGAUGUUUUGGAUAAACAACAAG
rnacentral:misc_RNA from 1 species